AGGUUAAACAAAAAGAUUUAUAAAGAAGAAUGUGAUUUAGGCGUGAGUGUGAACAACACACGUACAAGAAGAUCAGAUCAAUAGAGAACAAAAGCAAGCACAAGUACACACUGAUUCUGAAUAUGGCAAAUGAAAUGUAGACUUUUAUAUCUAUGGUCUAUAAUUUGAAGCCCAAAAUUGAUAUAUGGGCUUUUAGCCUAGGACCGGCCUAUGAUUCGUUGAUUUCACAGAGUUACACGUAUGAGGGCUUUUUACAUGGAGCUAUUACUUCAAAUCCGUCGUAUGGCUUGGGCUAACCAUAUACUUCUUAGUUUUGGAUACGGGCACGGAUCUUCCUAAACCAACAUAUAGGUCGGUUAUGUAAUUAUUUAGAUCUUCAGGGGUAAAUCUGACAAUAUUGCAUGACCCGACCGGGUGUUUCUUAUAGAAACCCGUAUACCCGGGCAUUAGUUUUCUCGCUAUGGACGCUUGGAUCUCGUCUCUCAGGUUCGGGUCGGGUACGACCCAUGUCUUGUGCUUCUUGUAAGCCUCUUCGAACGCCUCGUUGAACCGUCUCAGAGACUCCUCCGCCUCCGUCCCCGCCGUUGAAUCACCGGGGAGCGACGCUAUCACAUCCCCCCAGGCCAUUUUUUCGUAUUUCUCGAGGUAUUGAUUCACUUUAACCUCGUGAUUCGCUACCCAAUCGUCUCCGAGUACGAGUCUGAGAUUCGAUGUACGGACCUUGGUCACAACGUAAUGGAGGUUGUUCGCUAGGAAGAGAUACGAUAGAGCCGAGUCGUUGUAGAGCCGAGAUUUGGCGUCGAUUUUACAGAGCAAGACGAGAAUCAACCACGCGAGUCUCGCCGCCAUCGGAGAACGAUCACCGGAUCCUGGAUUCUCUUCGCCGCUGCUACUGAAGUAAUCCUCCGGUAAAGGUAACGAUGACUCCUUGAGAAUGGUGGCGAGAGAAUCGCUGUAGUCUGCGAGGAAGACGAUGAAGUUCAUCACAUACCUCGUGAGCUGAUGAACUCCGCCGCCAGAAAUCGCCGAUUUCGACGAUUCCUUCGUAAUCGACGAUUGAAACUCCGUCAUCAUUGCAUUCACCGAUUCCGAUAGCUUCUCUAGAGAUUCAUUCGCCUGUAAUCUAACGGCAGCGGUUGAAUCGUAGCUAAAAAUCUGAUCGAUUUUGGGAGUCAGUUGCAAGAUCGUCUGGUAAACGUCAAGCGUAGGGAAGAUCUUCUCUGCAGUUUUUCUGGAUUUCGCUACGGUUAGUGAGAAGAUGAAGAGGUUUAACGCGCUCUGUAGCGUUAUGUCAACGAAGCAAGAUUCAGCGACGGAGGAGGAGAAAAUGUGAUCGGAAAGGAUUCGUUCUCCGUUGAACAGAGUGGUGAUUGCUACUCUCGCAACAAUCACCCAUAUUUUGAUCUUCUUCUCCAGAAUCUCCCAUUCCAGUUUCUGCAUCUGUGUAGAGGUUAGCUUCUCGAACCCUAGAUGAGACAAUGUGUCGACGAUGAUCUUUUUGCGAAACUUCUUGUAGAUUUUAACACAAUCCUUCUCGUAACCAGAGGAGAUCAUGCAAUUUGCUAUCAUCUUCAAAUCAACAAUAGCAUCAGAAUUCCCUCCUCCUCCUAUGUCUUUACCUAAUUCCGAUGAGGAUUCAGAGUAAAGCUCUCCAUCUGAUGAAGAAUCCGAAGCGGUUCCACUUGAUCUCGAAGGUAUGUUGGAUUCAGAAGACCAACCAGAGACGGAUUCUGGACUCAGAAAGCGGCGAUUCGAUUUCAAAACCCGGUAAAACUCCUUCUCCAAAUGCUUCAUAGCUUUCCGCAUCAAAUCCUGUCCUUUAGCAAGCUUAGCGGAGUCCGGAUUCAUAGCAACGGUGCUCUGAAUGGCGUAUUGUAACUUGCCGAGAACCUCGAGGAAGCGUCUGCCUUCUAGGCGGUUUUGAGCGGAGAAGAGGGAAGAGAGGCUGCAUGAAGAAGAAGAAGAGUCGCAGAGGUGUGGAGUAACCCAUUGGCAUAUGAAGGCGUCAGCUGCCUCCACACUAUCGCCGAUUAGAGACUCGGAGAAGCCCUGUUGCUGUUGCGGCCCGACCUUAGAGGAUUUUGAUAAGGUGGUGGGUUUCAAGAGCACCAUUGUUUCUUGGGUUUGAAGAAAUGGGUCUUAAGGUGUUGGGGUAUUUAUUUACCAUCUUCGGUUUCUUGUUUCGGCGACUGUUUUUUUUUGUUGGAGCCGUUCCAAGUUCGUCAAAAUGUACACGCUGGUCAUCCGUUUAUGUCUCUCAUUUUGUUUUCUAAGUCUUUGAUUUUGGGACAACAAAUUGUUUGUGUUAAAUUUAGACUGAAAUUUACAGGUUGUAUGGAUAAAACACAUGCAUGUAUACAUCAUUGUCUUUCUUAAUUUAGAGGUAUAGUUUGUUAAAUGAUCAGUCACAGUGGU
rnacentral:lncRNA from 1 species